rnacentral:lncRNA from 1 species
CAAAAACGCAUUAUACAUAGUCACACUGUCACUACUGCCUACACCUUAGCUAGCUUAGCUUUCUACUGCAUCGAUCUAUUCCUGGGAGAGAGAUUUCACUAGAUUUUUAAAUAGUAAAGUUUAGCUGAGAGCUGGUUCAGACAGCACAGACAGCAACUCAGACGAGCUCAACGAAGUUGAGCCCCUUGAGGAGGCAACCGAGGAAGACCACCCAUUAAUGGUGGAGCCGUAAAUUACGGUUCUUCAGUCUGUCAAGGGGGAAUAUGUCAGUGAUGCUGGGCAAGAAAUUCAAAAGUCUCGUGAGUUCACUUGCAAGUCCAACAAAGUAAAGCCAUGCUAUUUGCUUUUUACCCCGGAGGAGAUAGUCAAGAGACGUGACCAGAUGAAUGAACUCACCAAUGUUCACUCAGAGAUGGUAUGUAUGCUGGUUGAUGGUACCUGCAGGCCUGUUUGAGGGACAACUGGACAGAACAUAUCAGAAUUUUUGGACUUCAGCUGAGACCCUCCUCUCCUUCCCUGUCCUCCUUUACACAUCCUGUUAGGAAAGCUCCUUCUUUACACUUCCUGUUAGGCAAGAUGCUCUCAAGGGGUGUCUCUUCAAUUCUCAAAUGUCGUGUGGUAUUCCCUAUAGAUGACCCUUACAAGCUUUCAGAUUGCUUGCCUGUGAAUGGUUGUCCUCAUAAUCAGGCUAUUUACUUGUUACAUGGGUGUUUAAAUACUGAGUCUCUCUUACGGAAUUUAAUUGAUUCCUCAACUGCCCCAUGCUUUCCUUCUCUCCAUUAUAUAUUAGGGGAAGUUGUUUUGCUGUUGGCACCAAUCCCAUGCUGCCAGAUCAACUACUUCAUCCUCUCAUACUCAACUUUGCUCGCUCUUGUUCAACUACCCUUUGAUUAAAUCCAUUUCAUUCAAUGUUUACAUUUUCUUCAAGUGUGGCUUUUACUUAAUAGUUGACAGAUGGCACUUGUAUGCAGGAAUGUGGGUGUGGGGGGAAAGAGUGGACAGAUGGGUGUACAUAGGUUUAACUGAAGAAACUCCCGCCUCUCCUUCUCUUGAUAAGAAAUAAAAGUUAAUGUAAUUGAUUCAAAAUCAAAUCUAAUGGAAUAUUUUAUAAAUUACAAGCUAAGACAAAAUGAGAUUAAGAUGUUACUUUGUCUUUACACAUCUAUUCACUACUGGCCAAAUGCAUUCACCAUCCACUUCAGCUAGCGUUUCCAUUUUUUAGGCCUGUUUACAUGUGAAAGGCUGUAUUAUUAUGCCUAUGGUACUGUAUGCACAAUAAGGUAUUCAAUAUAUUUUUUAAUCUGACCUGAGUUGAAGUUAGUAUCAUUAAUCCUACAUCAAGUCUCAAAUAUAGCUGAAUUGCGGUGUAUUUACAGAAUAACCCGUGCUGUACAAUUUUUAUUCACCAGAUGGCAGUAAUGUGAGAGUUCUAUUAACCUUUCAAGUACAGAGCAAAUGUCAAAAUUCAUGAAAUUCCCUGAAUGUUGAGCCCCCAACUCCUGUCACUCACACCAUGAAAUAUCUUAAACAUAUACAGUUGGCAUGGGGCGCAUGCCAUGAUUUAUAGACAAUGACACUUAAAUUAUUGGUUGGAGAAAUAUUAUUUGUUGUAUCUCUUCAAGGUAUAGCCAAGAAUCCUGAAAAAGAGAACGUUGGAUUGAAUAGCGCAUUCCGUUUGCCAACAAUACUGUACUUUGACAAAGUCGAGUGUUCGUUGUGCAUGCCAGUUACUAAAACAAUGUAACUUGUUAAUCAUGUUUCUAUCGUGUAUAAAGCUGCCCAUUUAAACGUACAUGCUCUAGCAAUGUGAAAUAUAUUAUUAGAAUAAAGACCGAAGUGUUGGUAGAGUAUAAUCAUAUAAUUUAACCUACCUCGUGUGUAAGAAGCGCCGCGCUACUUCCUUGUUGAAGAAAAGGUGUGCAUUACGCUUGACGCAAAUUAGUCUACGAAUCAUUGAGGAACAUUUAUCAAUUGACUGGAAUAAACAAAUUGAUGAAUUAUCCCGUGGGUGAAUAACUUAAUGAAUGUGUAUUGCGUGAUUUAAAGAAGAAGGUAUGCCACAAAUUAUUGCAGUGUGUGUUAAUGUAAAACUGUUGUUUAUGAUGGUAUAUGUCCAUGGGAAAUUACGCAUCUAUGGUAGAAAUGUGCUUUGGGGCUAUCAAGAUGGAACAUUCCUAGCUGAAGGGAUUUCCUGGAAAUAGUAUUUAGGUGCUCAGUUUUUUUUUUUAUGCCUUGGGGAGAGCAGGCUGAGUUUGAGUAAUAGGCAAAGAGUUGUUGCCGCAAUAGUUUAUACUGAGAAUAUCUUAGAUUUUUUCAAGUCCUGAUUGUUAUUUUCUGUACAAAGUGUGUUGGCCAAUUAAUCCUGCACCUGUUAAUAUUGUAAAUAAAAG